rnacentral:rRNA from 1 species
AGAUGAGCCUAGGUCGGAUUAGCUAGUUGGUGAGGUAAUGGCUNACCAAGGCGACGAUCCGUAACUGGUCUGAGAGGAUGAUCAGUCACACUGGAACUNAGACACGGUCCAGACUCCUACGGGAGGCAGCAGUGGGGAAUAUUGGACAAUGGGCGAAAGCCUGAUCCAGCCAUGCCGCGUGUGUGAAGAAGGUCUUCGGAUUGUAAAGCACUUUAAGUUGGGAGGAAGGGUAGUAACCUAAUACGUUGCUACUUUGACGUUACCGACAGAAUAAGCACCGGCUAACUUCGUG